ACACUUACAUGGCAGAGGAGAUACUAUGACCAUGAAGGUGGUUUUCCCAGGGCAAGGCUCAUCCAUUGCACUGUGAAAGUGCUGACCCUGUCAUUUCCCCUAAUGAAAUAGUUGUCCAUACCUUGAC
rnacentral:snRNA from 1 species